AACGAACGCUGGCGGCAUGCCUAACACAUGCAAGUCGAACGAGACCUUCGGGUCUAGUGGCGCACGGGUGCGUAACGCGUGGGAACCUGCCCUUAGGUUCGGAAUAACUCCCCGAAAGGGGUGCUAAUACCGGAUAAUGUCUUCGGACCAAAGAUUUAUCGCCUUUGGAUGGGCCCGCGUUGGAUUAGCUAGUUGGUAGGGUAAAAGCCUACCAAGGCGACGAUCCAUAGCUGGUCUGAGAGGAUGCUCAGCCACACUGGGACUGAGACACGGCCCAGACUCCUACGGGAGGCAGCAGUGGGGAAUAUUGGACAAUGGGCGAAAGCCUGAUCCAGCAAUGCCGCGUGAGUGAUGAAGGCCUUAGGGUUGUAAAGCUCUUUUACCCGGGAUGAUAAUGACAGUACCGUAAGAAUAAGCACCGGCUAACUCCGUG
rnacentral:rRNA from 1 species